rnacentral:rRNA from 1 species
CCAAUAGCGUAUAUUAAAGUUGUUGCAGUUAAAAAGCUCGUAGUUGAAUUUCGGGAUUAGUACGUCGGUCGUGCCUUCGGUAUGUACUGGUGUUACUGGUUCCUACCUUCUGACGAACCGUCAUGUCAUUAAUUUGGUGUGGCGGGGAAUCAGGACUGUUACUUUGAAAAAAUUAGAGUGUUUAAAGCAGGCUCGCGCUUGAAUACAUUAGCAUGGAAUAAUGAAAUAGGACGUUCGAUCCUAUUUUGUUGGUUUCUAGGAUUGACGUAAUGAUUAAUAGGGAUAGUUGGGGGCAUUAGUAUUCAAUUGUCAGAGGUGAAAUUCUUGGAUUUAUUGAAGACUAACUACUGCGAAAGCAUUUGCCAAGGAUGUUUUCAUUAAUCAAGAACGAAAGUUAGGGGAUCGAAGACGAUCAGAUACCGUCGUAGUCUUAACCAUAAACUAUGCCGACUAGGGAUCGGAUGAUGUUAUUUUUAAUGACUCACUCGGCGCCUUACG